rnacentral:rRNA from 1 species
GACGAACGCUGGCGGCGUGCUUAGCACAUGCAAGUCGAACGGUAAGGCUCCAGCUUGCUGGGGUACACGAGUGGCGAACGGGUGAGUAACACGUGGGUGACCUGCCCUGCACUUCGGGAUAAGCCUGGGAAACUGGGUCUAAUACCGGAUAGGACCAUGGUGUGGAUACUGUGGUGGAAAGUUUUUUCGGUGUGGGAUGGGCCCGCGGCCUAUCAGCUUGUUGGUGGGGUAAUGGCCUACCAAGGCGGCGACGGGUAGCCGGCCUGAGAGGGUGGACGGCCACAUUGGGACUGAGACACGGCCCAGACUCCUACGGGAGGCAGCAGUGGGGAAUAUUGCACAAUGGGCGGAAGCCUGAUGCAGCGACGCCGCGUGGGGGAUGACGGCCUUCGGGUUAUAAACUCCUUUCACCAUCGACGAAGGGUUUCUGACGGUAGAUGGAGAAGAAGCACCGGCUAACUACGUG